rnacentral:rRNA from 1 species
GAGUUUGAUCCUGGCUCAGGAUGAACGCUAGCUACAGGCUUAACACAUGCAAGUCGAGGGGCAUCAGGAAGAAAGCUUGCUUUCUUUGCUGGCGACCGGCGCACGGGUGAGUAACACGUAUCCAACCUGCCCUUUACUCGGGGAUAGCCUUUCGAAAGAAAGAUUAAUACCCGAUGGCAUAAUGAUUCCGCAUGGUUUCAUUAUUAAAGGAUUCCGGUAAAGGAUGGGGAUGCGUUCCAUUAGGUUGUUGGUGAGGUAACGGCCCACCAAGCCUUCGAUGGAUAGGGGUUCUGAGAGGAAGGUCCCCCACAUUGGAACUGAGACACGGUCCAAACUCCUACGGGAGGCAGCAGUGAGGAAUAUUGGUCAAUGGGCGCUAGCCUGAACCAGCCAAGUAGCGUGAAGGAUGAAGGCUCUAUGGGUCGUAAACUUCUUUUAUAUAAGAAUAAAGUGCAGUAUGUAUACUGUUUUGUAUGUAUUAUAUGAAUAAGGAUCGGCUAACUCCGUGCCAGCAGCCGCGGUAAUACGGAGGAUCCGAGCGUUAUCCGGAUUUAUUGGGUUUAAAGGGAGCGUAGGUGGACUGGUAAGUCAGUUGUGAAAGUUUGCGGCUCAACCGUAAAAUUGCAGUUGAUACUGUCAGUCUUGAGUACAGUAGAGGUGGGCGGAAUUCGUGGUGUAGCGGUGAAAUGCUUAGAUAUCACGAAGAACUCCGAUUGCGAAGGCAGCUCACUGGACUGCAACUGACACUGAUGCUCGAAAGUGUGGGUAUCAAACAGGAUUAGAUACCCUGGUAGUCCACACAGUAAACGAUGAAUACUCGCUGUUUGCGAUAUACAGUAAGCGGCCAAGCGAAAGCAUUAAGUAUUCCACCUGGGGAGUACGCCGGCAACGGUGAAACUCAAAGGAAUUGACGGGGGCCCGCACAAGCGGAGGAACAUGUGGUUUAAUUCGAUGAUACGCGAGGAACCUUACCCGGGCUUAAAUUGCAGUGGAAUGAUGUGGAAACAUGUCAGUGAGCAAUCACCGCUGUGAAGGUGCUGCAUGGUUGUCGUCAGCUCGUGCCGUGAGGUGUCGGCUUAAGUGCCAUAACGAGCGCAACCCUUAUCUUUAGUUACUAACAGGUUAUGCUGAGGACUCUGGAGAGACUGCCGUCGUAAGAUGUGAGGAAGGUGGGGAUGACGUCAAAUCAGCACGGCCCUUACGUCCGGGGCUACACACGUGUUACAAUGGGGGGGACAGAAGGCAGCUAGCGGGUGACCGUAUGCUAAUCCCAAAAGCCUCUCUCAGUUCGGAUCGAAGUCUGCAACCCGACUUCGUGAAGCUGGAUUCGCUAGUAAUCGCGCAUCAGCCACGGCGCGGUGAAUACGUUCCCGGGCCUUGUACACACCGCCCGUCAAGCCAUGGGAGCCGGGGGUACCUGAAGUACGUAACCGCAAGGAUCGUCCUAGGGUAAAACUGGUGACUGGGGCUAAGUCGUAACAAGGUAGCCGUACCGGAAGGUGCGGCUGGAACACC